GGCGGAGUUAGCGUGUACUCUGAGCGUAGUAAUUUAUCUCUCGCUUUUGCGGUGCCUCUAGCUUCCUGCCGUAAAACCCCCCAUAUCUUUCUAGUGGUUGACCU
rnacentral:rRNA from 1 species